AACCUCCGCAAUGUGAGAAAUCGCGACGGGGGGAUCCCAAGUGCCAUUCUUAACGGGAUGGCUUUUCAUUAGUGUAAAAGCUUUUGGAAUAAGAGCUGGGCAAGACCGGUGCCAGCCGCCGCGGUAACACCGGCAGCUCUAGUGGUAGCAAUUUUUAUUGGGCCUAAAGCGUCCGUAGCCGGUUUAAUAAGUCUCUGGUGAAAUCCUGCAGCUUAACUGUGGGAAUUGCUGGAGAUACUAUUAGACUUGAGACCGGGAGAGGUUAGAGGUACUCCCAGGGUAGAGGUGAAAUUCUGUAAUCCUGGGAGGACCGCCUGUUGCGAAGGCGUCUAACUGGAACGGUUCUGACGGUGAGGGACGAAAGUUAGGGGCGCGAACCGGAUUAGAUACCCGGGUAGUCCUAACUGUAAACGAUGCGGACUUGGUGUUGGGGUGGUUUUGAGCUGCUCCAGUGCCGAAGGGAAGCUGUUAAGUCCGCCGCCUGGGAAGUACGGUCGCAAGACUGAAACUUAAAGGAGUU
rnacentral:rRNA from 1 species